rnacentral:rRNA from 1 species
AUGUCUUCACCGCCGCCAAGUCCGUCUCUUCCGCUGUCGGUCACCAUGUCGCCCCCGACGACCUCUGUUUUUAAGGCGUCCCUGAGGCGUCGCUUAGGCGACGCUUUGGCGUCAGGGCGCCCCCAGAUGACAAGGCGUCGUACUCGCCUUAGUUUAUUGAGUAAGGCGUCCGCCUUGGACUGUAGGGCGUCUGAAUCGUCCGCCUUAGCCCCGCCUUGCACGCCUUGGCCCAAAUCAGACGCUCUGGUUUGUCAGGCAGGGGAAACAGAGAUUCCAGCGGGAAAAACUGGCCCACGCGGGAACACAAGCGCGGGAAAUAUUGGCCCACGCGCGAACAGUUACAAGGAGGGGAAAGAGAGAGAGAGAGAGAAUCGAACCAAUCGUGCAAAUCCUAGUCUCCACGCGAGAGGUCUCUCUCCUGUUUCCUCUGGCGGCGGCUUCCUCCUCAGAUCUGCGCCAGCUUCCUCUCCGGCUGCAGCUCCUCCCCCUCCCCCUCUCCAGUUGCAGCUCCUCCCUCUUCUCCUCUGGCGCAACCCUCUUCCACCAGACCAGCACCAGAACAAGUGUUGCUGCAGUAGCCACUGGUCAGGUGUCCCUGCUCUGAUGAAUCCUAGGAGAAGAGCUAGAUCUGACGAUCCAGCUUGGAAGUAUGGGCUUUGGCCAGAUUUAGAGAGGAAAGAUUUACUACAGUGUACAUUAUGUGGCAAGAUAAUCCAUGCUGGAGUGAAAAGGCUGAAGCAGCACCUUUCUGGGGGUUCCAGUGAUGCGGAUAAGUGUCCCGAGGCAUCCAUGGAGGUUAGGAUAGAGAUGCGCAAUUCCUUAAACAGUGGAAAGUUUAAAGCUACAGAGCGAUAUAUUGAUGAGGAGGAUGAAGCUGAAGUUCAAAGGCGCCGUUCUGUCAUGUACACAAGAUAA